UGCCAGCCGCCGCGGUAACACGGGGGGCGCAAGCGUUAUUCGGAAUUAUUGGGCGUAAAGGGCGCGCAGGCGGUCUUGUCCGUCAGGUGUGAAAGCUCGGGGCUCAACCCCGGAAGUGCACUUGAAACAGCAAGACUUGAAUACGGUAGAGGAGAGAGGAAUUCCUGGUGUAGAGGUGAAAUUCGUAGAUAUCAGGAGGAACACCGAUGGCGAAGGCAUCUCUUUAGCAAAAACUGACGUUGAGGGACGAAAGUAUGGGUAGCAAACAGGAUUAGAUA
rnacentral:rRNA from 1 species